rnacentral:rRNA from 1 species
GCCUGAUCCAGCAAUGCCGCGUGAGUGAUGAAGGCCUUAGGGUUGUAAAGCUCUUUUACCCGGGAUGAUAAUGACAGUACCGGGAGAAUAAGCUCCGGCUAACUCCGUGCCAGCAGCCGCGGUAAU